CAGAACAUUAGUUGUUCCCUACACAUUCAGUAAGUACUGCUUUAGAUCUACAUUCCAGGCAUAUCCUCAUGACUGAAUACUGAGUAUACGUAAGUAAAAAACUCUUUAUUAACCUUUGUAUUCCAAAAAUUUAUCAUGUUUACAAAGUAAUAAAAGGUUAUUUAUUAUACUCCUCAGGUCAUUGAAAGUCUCCUGCACCACUGGGCCAUUCGGCUGAAUCUGGGGAAUAAUAUCUACAUUAUGAACCACUACACGAGCGGUGUGAUCCUCUAUGGAGAGAGAGAACUAAUCAGGAGACAAAGCUUGUCCAAGGUGAACUUUGACAACUACCGAGCCAUUUUAUCCUUUGUGAACAUUGGAAAUGUACACUGGAAGUUUCUGUACAUAAAUGCAGAUGACAGCUG
ensembl:lncRNA